rnacentral:tRNA from 1 species
AGAUUUUAUAGUUUAAAUAAAACCCUGAUCUUGUAAAUCAGAAAUGAUUUAUAUCUAAAAUCU